UACAGAGGGUGCAAGCGUUUAAUCGGAAUUACUGGGCGUAAAGCGCGCGUAGGCGGCUGUCUAAGUCGGAUGUGAAAUCCCCGGGCUUAACCUGGGAACUGCAUUCGAUACUGGGCGGCUAGAGUAUGAGAGAGGGAGGUAGAAUUCCACGUGUAGCGGUGAAAUGCGUAGAUAUGUGGAGGAAUACCGGUGGCGAAGGCGGCCUCCUGGCUUAAUACUGACGCUGAGGUGCGAAAGCGUGGGGAGCAAACAGG
rnacentral:rRNA from 1 species